GUCUCCUUGUGCGCAGUGGCCGAGGGAGUACUACUGGGGCUAUCGUUAUUCUGAUGCACUGGGCGUAACGCGCACGUAUUCGGCAACGUAAGUCUGGGUUGAAAUCCCGGGGCUCAACCUCUGAACUGCACUUGAUGCUGGGUUUCUUGAGUGCGGGUGAGGUGUGUGGAGCUGCCAGUGUAGAGCUGAAAUUCGUAGAUAUUCGCAAGAACACCAGUGUCGAAGGCGGCCAACUGGCCCGAUACUGACGCUGAGGUGCGAAAGCGUGGGGAGCAAACAGGAUUAGAUACCCCGGUAGUC
rnacentral:rRNA from 1 species